AUUGAACGCUGGCGGCAGGCCUAACACAUGCAAGUCGGGCGAGCGGUGGACGGGUGAGUAAUGUAUGGGGAUCUGCCUGAUGGAGGGGGAUAACUACUGGAAACGGUAGCUAAUACCGCAUACCAUCAGAUGAACCCACAUGGGAUUAGCUAGUAGGUGUGGUAACGGCUCACCUAGGCGACGAUCCCUAGCUGGUCUGAGAGGAUGAUCAGCCACACUGGGACUGAGACACGGCCCAGACUCCUACGGGAGGCAGCAGUGGGGAAUAUUGCGCAAUGGGCGCAAGCCUGAUGCAGCCAUGCCGCGUGUGUGAAGAAGGCCUUCGGGUUGUAAAGUACUUUCAGUAGGGAAGCGUUACCGACAGAAGAAGCAACGGCUAACUACGUGCCAGCAGCCGCGGUAAUUC
rnacentral:rRNA from 1 species